AGUCUCUCCUGGUCUGCAGGUGCUUCAAGAUGCUGGGGCCAUCUUAGGGUGCACACAUACACCUACAUCUCAAGCAAAGGCAGCAGGGCUGGAUAUUAACAGGGAAUGUCCUUGCCUGUCCGUGAGGCCCCUCCCGGCUGUGCACUCUCUGAGAACCUGCUUUUUUUUCCCCUGACCUUGCGUGAGCCCUUCUCAGUGCUCCCCAUAUCGGAGUAAGGCAUCUCAUGGUGACCUCACUUUACUCCAAGGCCCCUCAGGGCAGGGGUCACUUUGUUGUACCAGUUACAGACCUGAGUGAUUUUCAAACUGCCAGACCCGUAUCCGUGUCCCUUUCUCGACAGGCCGGUCUUCCCAGCACCACUUUUAGACCAGACAAUGGCUCCUAACUGCCAGCACCAACCCUGGCUGCUUUACUGUUUAUUUGUUUCUUUGUUUUUGGUACUGGGGAUUGAACUCAGACCUUGCGCUUGCCAGGCAGGCAGUGGAACCACUCAGCUAAAUCCCUGGGCCCUUGUUUUACUGUUUGUUCUGAUGAACACAGGCACACUACAAAGAAGUGACUCCCUGACUUCUCCACAGGCUCGUGGUCAGGGCUAUCUAGGCCCUGAAAGGCAUCCUUUCCAUCAAGUUGGACAUCAAAGGACUUUGGGGAUAAAAGAGACCAUCAAGAUCUUCAGUGCCACCCUGCAGAGAAUGGAGGAGCAGCGAUCCUGCAGAGUGAGACUGGUUCUUCCCUCUCCACUUGUUUAACAUCAACUCGCAGAGACGCAUGAAUACCAAAGCCUCCUGGCAGAGGGAUUUGAUGAGAUGUCUGCCCAAAAUGACCUGCAGAUGCUGACAGGAGAAACCGCCACAGGAUCUGUCUUGGUUUCAUUUUGCAUAAUUAUUUUCUGAAUAAAGCUUUUCACAACAUUUGAGGAGAUUUCAUAUGUCUUCCUGAAUGAGUUCAGGGGUCCAAGCAAG
rnacentral:lncRNA from 1 species